ACGCUGGCGGCACGCCUAACACAUGCAAGUCGAACGAAGUAGCAAUACUUAGUGGCAGACGGGUGAGUAACAUGUAGGUAUCUGCCCUUUGGCCUGGAAUAACACGAGGAAACUUGUGCUAAUACCGGAUAAGUCUUUACGGAGAAAGCUUUAUGCACCAUUGGAUGAGCCUGCACUUGAUUAGUUUGUUGGUGGGGUAAUGGCCUACCAAGACUGUGAUCAAUAGCUGAUUUGAGAGGAUGAUCAGCCACAUUGGGACUGAGACACGGCCCAAACUCCUACGGGAGGCAGCAGUGGGGAAUCUUGCACAAUGGAGGAAACUCUGAUGCAGCGAUGCCGCGUGAGUGAAGAAGGCCCUUGGGUUGUAAAGCUCUUUCGUCGGGGAAGAAAAUGACUGUACCCGAAUAAGAAGGUCCGGCUAACUUCGUGCCAGCAGCCGCGGUAAUACGAAGGGACCUAGCGUAGUUCGGAAUUACUGGGCUUAAAGAGUUCGUAGGUGGUUGAAAAAGUUGGUGGUGAAAUCCCAGAGCUUAACUCUGGAACUGCCAUCAAAACUUUUCAGCUAGAGUAUGAUAGAGGAAAGCAGAAUUUCUAGUGUAGAGGUGAAAUUCGUAGAUAUUAGAAAGAAUACCAAUUGCGAAGGCAGCUUUCUGGAUCAUUACUGACACUGAGGAACGAAAGCAUGGGUAGCGAAGAGGAUUAGAUACCCUCGUAGUCCAUGCCGUAAACGAUGUGUGUUAGACGUUGGAAAUUUAUUUUCAGUGUCGCAGCGAAAGCGAUAAACACACCGCCUGGGGAGUACGACCG
rnacentral:rRNA from 1 species